UUAAGCGACUAAGCGUACACGGUGGAUGCCCUGGCAGUCAGAGGCGAUGAAGGACGUGCUAAUCUGCGAAAAGCGUCGGUAAGGUGAUAUGAACCGUUAUAACCGGCGAUGUCCGAAUGGGGAAACCCAGUGCAAUUCGUUGCACUAUCGUUAACUGAAUACAUAGGUUAACGAGGCGAACCGGGGGAACUGAAACAUCUAAGUACCCCGAGGAAAAGAAAUCAACCGAGAUUCCCCCAGUAGCGGCGAGCGAACGGGGAGCAGCCCAGAGUCUGAAUCAGCUUGUGUGUUAGUGGAACGGUCUGGAAAGUCCGACGGUACAGGGUGAUAGUCCCGUACACCAAAAUGCACAGGUUGUGAACUCGAAGAGUAGGGCGGGACACGUGGUAUCCUGUCUGAAUAUGGGGGGACCAUCCUCCAAGGCUAAAUACUCCUGACUGACCGAUAGUGAACCAGUACCGUGAGGGAAAGGCGAAAAGAACCCCGGCGAGGGGAGUGAAAAAGAACCUGAAACCGUGUACGUACAAGCAGUGGGAGCACCUUCGGGUGUGACUGCGUACCUUUUGUAUAAUGGGUCAGCGACUUAUAUUCUGUAGCAAGGUUAACCGUAUAGGGGAGCCGCAGGGAAACCGAGUCUUAACUGGGCGUUAAGUUGCAGGGUAUAGACCCGAAACCCGGUGAUCUAGCCAUGGGCAGGUUGAAGGUUGGGUAACACUAACUGGAGGACCGAACCGACUAAUGUUGAAAAAUUAGCGGAUGACUUGUGGCUGGGGGUGAAAGGCCAAUCAAACCGGGAGAUAGCUGGUUCUCCCCGAAAGCUAUUUAGGUAGCGCCUCGUGAACUCAUCUUCGGGGGUAGAGCACUGUUUCGGCUAGGGGGUCAUCCCGACUUACCAACCCGAUGCAAACUACGAAUACCGAAGAAUGUUAUCACGGGAGACACACGGCGGGUGCUAACGUCCGUCGUGAAGAGGGAAACAACCCAGACCGCCAGCUAAGGUCCCAAAGUCAUGGUUAAGUGGGAAACGAUGUGGGAAGGCACAGACAGCCAGGAUGUUGGCUUAGAAGCAGCCAUCAUUUAAAGAAAGCGUAAUAGCUCACUGGUCGAGUCGGCCUGCGCGGAAGAUGUAACGGGGCUAAACCAUGCACCGAAGCUGCGGCAGCGACACUAUGUGUUGUUGGGUAGGGGAGCGUUCUGUAAGCCUGCGAAGGUGUGCUGUGAGGCAUGCUGGAGGUAUCAGAAGUGCGAAUGCUGACAUAAGUAACGAUAAAGCGGGUGAAAAGCCCGCUCGCCGGAAGACCAAGGGUUCCUGUCCAACGUUAAUCGGGGCAGGGUGAGUCGACCCCUAAGGCGAGGCCGAAAGGCGUAGUCGAUGGGAAACAGGUUAAUAUUCCUGUACUUGGUGUUACUGCGAAGGGGGGACGGAGAAGGCUAUGUUAGCCGGGCGACGGUUGUCCCGGUUUAAGCAUGUAGGCUGAUUGUCCAGGCAAAUCCGGAUAAUCAAGGCUGAGGUGUGAUGACGAGGCACUACGGUGCUGAAGUAACAAAUGCCCUGCUUCCAGGAAAAGCCUCUAAGCAUCAGGUAACAUCAAAUCGUACCCCAAACCGACACAGGUGGUCAGGUAGAGAAUACCAAGGCGCUUGAGAGAACUCGGGUGAAGGAACUAGGCAAAAUGGUGCCGUAACUUCGGGAGAAGGCACGCUGGUGUGUAGGUGAAGUCCCUGCGGAUGGAGCUGAGACCAGUCGAAGAUACCAGCUGGCUGCAACUGUUUAUUAAAAACACAGCACUGUGCAAACACGAAAGUGGACGUAUACGGUGUGACGCCUGCCCGGUGCCGGAAGGUUAAUUGAUGGGGUUAUCCGUAAGGAGAAGCUCUUGAUCGAAGCCCCGGUAAACGGCGGCCGUAACUAUAACGGUCCUAAGGUAGCGAAAUUCCUUGUCGGGUAAGUUCCGACCUGCACGAAUGGCGUAAUGAUGGCCAGGCUGUCUCCACCCGAGACUCAGUGAAAUUGAACUCGCUGUGAAGAUGCAGUGUACCCGCGGCAAGACGGAAAGACCCCGUGAACCUUUACUAUAGCUUGACACUGAACAUUGAGCCUUGAUGUGUAGGAUAGGUGGGAGGCUUUGAAGCGUGGACGCCAGUCUGCGUGGAGCCAACCUUGAAAUACCACCCUUUAAUGUUUGAUGUUCUAACGUUGGCCCCUGACCGGGGUUGCGGACAGUGUCUGGUGGGUAGUUUGACUGGGGCGGUCUCCUCCCAAAGCGUAACGGAGGAGCACGAAGGUUAGCUAAUCCUGGUCGGACAUCAGGAGGUUAGUGCAAUGGCAUAAGCUAGCUUGACUGCGAGCGUGACGGCGCGAGCAGGUGCGAAAGCAGGUCAUAGUGAUCCGGUGGUUCUGAAUGGAAGGGCCAUCGCUCAACGGAUAAAAGGUACUCCGGGGAUAACAGGCUGAUACCGCCCAAGAGUUCAUAUCGACGGCGGUGUUUGGCACCUCGAUGUCGGCUCAUCACAUCCUGGGGCUGAAGUAGGUCCCAAGGGUAUGGCUGUUCGCCAUUUAAAGUGGUACGCGAGCUGGGUUUAGAACGUCGUGAGACAGUUCGGUCCCUAUCUGCCGUGGGCGCUGGAGAAUUGAGGGGGGCUGCUCCUAGUACGAGAGGACCGGAGUGGACGCAUCACUGGUGUUCGGGUUGUCAUGCCAAUGGCACUGCCCGGUAGCUAAAUGCGGAAGAGAUAAGUGCUGAAAGCAUCUAAGCACGAAACUUGCCCCGAGAUGAGUUCUCCCUGAGACU
rnacentral:rRNA from 1 species